AUGAACGCUGGCGGCGUGCCUAAUACAUGCAAGUCGAGCGAACAGACGAGGAGCUUGCUCCUUCGACGUUAGCGGCGGACGGGUGAGUAACACGUAGGUAACCUACCUAUAAGACUGGGAUAACUUCGGGAAACCGGAGCUAAUACCGGAUAAUAUUUCGAACCGCAUGGUUCGAUAGUGAAAGAUGGCUUUGCUAUCACUUAUAGAUGGACCUGCGCCGUAUUAGCUAGUUGGUAAGGUAACGGCUUACCAAGGCAACGAUACGUAGCCGACCUGAGAGGGGGAGCGGCCACACUGGAACUGAGACACGGUCCAGACUCCUACGGGAGGCAGCAGUAGGGAAUCUUCCGCAAUGGGCGAAAGCCUGACGGAGCAACGCCGCGUGAGUGAUGAAGGUCUUCGGAUCGUAAAACUCUGUUAUUAGGGAAGAACAAACGUGUAAGUAACUGUGCACGUCUUGACGGUACCUAAUCAGAAAGCCACGGCUAACUACGUG
rnacentral:rRNA from 1 species